AACGGCCAUACCAUGCUGAAUAUACCGGUUCUCGUUAGAUCACCGAAGUCAAGCAACAUUGGGCGCGGUCAGUACUUGGGUGGGUGACCACCUGAGAACACCGCGUGCCGUU
rnacentral:rRNA from 1 species